rnacentral:lncRNA from 1 species
CAUCUGGAGCACAGGCAGUUCCCAGAAAUGAUCCUGAGUGGGACCCAAAUGACGAGCAAGAUGCUUGGAAAAUUAGUCAUUUCCAAGUGUUGAUCCUUGAGGCCCUUAGGAGAAUCAAGCAAAAGCCCAUUAACUAUUCUAAGAUUUCAGAAAUUAUUCAGGGACCCCAGGAAAGCCCGCUAUUUUCAUGGAGAAACUCAGAGAGGCAAUGAGAAAACACACCACUGUGGAUCCUGAAUCCACAGAGGGCCAAUUACUUUUAAAGGACAAAUUUAUCACUCAGUCAGCCCCAGACAUCUGGAGGAAGUUACAAAAAUUGGCAUAUGGCCCUGAUCAGUCUUUAGAUAACAUCCUCUGACUUGCUACUUAGGUUUUUUAUAAUAGAGAUAUAGAGGGAAAAAAGGAGAAAGAGCUCAGAGACAGAAAAAGAAUCUGAAGCCAUGGUAUUUGCUCUUAGAGGAGUAAGCUCCCAGGGUGAAGGAGGAAGACGAAAUGCUCCUCAAUCC